rnacentral:rRNA from 1 species
AUUGAACGCUGGCGGCAGGCCUAACACAUGCCAGUCGAGCGGAUGAAGGGAGCUUGCUCCUGGAUUCAGCGGCGGACGGGUGAGUAAUGCCUAGGAAUCUGCCUGGUAGUGGGGGAUAACGUCCGGAAACGGGCGCUAAUACCGCAUACGUCCUGAGGGAGAAAGUGGGGGAUCUUCGGACCUCACGCUAUCAGAUGAGCCUAGGUCGGAUUAGCUAGUUGGUGGGGUAAAGGCCUACCAAGGCGACGAUCCGUAACUGGUCUGAGAGGAUGAUCAGUCACACUGGAACUGAGACACGGUCCAGACUCCUACGGGAGGCAGCAGUGGGGAAUAUUGGACAAUGGGCGAAAGCCUGAUCCAGCCAUGCCGCGUGUGUGAAGAAGGUCUUCGGAUUGUAAAGCACUUUAAGUUGGGAGGAAGGGCAGUAAGUUAAUACCUUGCUGUUUUGACGUUACCAACAGAAUAAGCACCGGCUAACUUUGUG